AAGAGUAAGGGUGCUCAGCGCCCGACCUCCAACCCUCUGUUGUUAAAACUACCUUGUUGCUUUGGCGGGACCGCUCGGUCCCGAGCCGCCGGGGAUCCGUCCCAGGCGAGCGCCCGCCAGAGUCCAACCAAAACUCUUGUUAAUCGUAACCGGUCGUCUGAGUAAAAAUUUUUGAAUAAAUCA
rnacentral:misc_RNA from 1 species